CCACCUGCAGCAUCCCGCCUACCGCCUUGGCCGCCCCGCCCCCCGAGGCGGAGGCCGCGCCGCAGCUUCCUGCAGGCGGGCACGCGGCUUAAGCGGCCCUCUUCGGCUUCCGUCCGCGGGCUGUAGGCCCGGGCUCUGCUGCCCCCUGACGGCGGGCGGUGCGCGCUGGCCGGAAGUGCGCGCGGGUAGCUGGACGAGGUACGGGGUCGACAGACAGAGAUACAAAGAACACCUCAGUAGAAGUCGCGGAUUGUUGCACCUGCGUGGAAAGGAUGCGCCAAGAAGGCGGCGGCCUAGCGCAGCCAGCGCCCGGGACGCGGCCCCACUGGGUCUGCAGGUCCUCCACGGCGGCGGCGGCGGCGGCGGCGGCGGCACACGCAGUGGACUAAGGGGCUGCUAGGAGCCCUCGGUGUCGGUGUUGUCGCUGCCGGUGGUGUUCUCCCAGUCCACCUCUCCCUGCCUGGAGCUGUGCAGUACCUUCCUGAGCGCCCGCUUCCUGGGGAAAACCCGGAAGCACUGGCAGGCCCACAGUGGCCCACCAGGCCGCCAAUGGGUCAGUGGCUGAGCUGGGCCUGCACCGGGGCCCCCCACGCCUCAAGGGCAGGCCCACAGCUACAGCUGCUGGACGGACGCCCCCCGACCCCCAGGAGGCCCACCGGGACGCGCAUCUCCAGCCGCCGCCUGAGCCUGCCCUUCACGGCCAGCAGCUGGCCCUCGCGCUGGAAGAGCUGCAGGUGCAGCUCGUCGGCCUUCUCGUCCAGCUCCCGCACGCGCCUGCGUAGCCGGUCCUUCUCCUGAAGGCUGCGUGCCUGCUGCGCGUGCAGCUCCUCCCUCGCCGCCGUGGCCUGCGGGGAAUCACAGGGCGGGCGCCCGGAGACUUGUGGGGGGACCCCGCAGGAGCUCACCCGGCCUCUGGCGACACUCCCAGCACUCUCCCAGGAGCCAGCAGGGCUGGGCCACCCUUCUUCUCUUCUCCGUGGACGCAUUUGGGGGAUUGUAACAAAGGCCCGUGAUGAAAAGUGUGGACGUGUUGGGCAGAAAGACAGAAGUGAGCAGGUGGAGGGAGAAUACGGCCAGUGGAGUCCGCUGAAAAGGGCUCAAAAGAAUUAACCAGCUAAAACCAGAGAGCCAGAAAGGGCUCGCAGAGUUAAUUAGUUGAAGUUCCAAAGGCCAGGAGUGACUUGGAAAGUCUGGGAUAUUCCCCAGAUAGAGAAAAGUAUCCAAGCGCAGCCCAUGUCUGCCUUGCACCAGGUAGAUCAUGCCACUGUAAAAUAUACUUAGCCUGUGAAAAAGGCCCAGUUUAUUCUUUAACUUAAUCUGUAUGCUGUUCUUCCUCUUCUUCCAGCCCCUUAAUUAGUGACUUUGUAACCGGGGCAGGAGACAGAGCUGCAAGUGUAAAUGAACCUAUGUGGAUAGAGAAUGCCAAGAACCAGGUCAACACAGUCACCUAAACAACCCUAUUCUUAAAACAAAACUUCAAAGGAAUUAUGAGUCACCUGUAUACAUCAUGCCUUAUGCUGACUCUUACCCAAAAGGCCCUAUAAAACCCCAAACUCUAAACCCUUAAGCAUGCCUCCUCUCUGAGGUUGCCCACAGUCCCCUUUCUUCACGUGGCACUCUCUCUUCUACUCCAGGUAAGUAGAAGGGCUGCUCAGAGCUCUGACCUGGGGCCUGCAGGUUCCCUUCCCCUGGGCUCCUUAGCAGCCUGCCUGAAAGUCUCUUCUUUGCCUUUGGAAAGUUCUCAAAACAUAAUCUCACUCCACCCAGUGCUCUGCGGCUCUCCAAAAUCCUGGGGUGAUAGAGGCUUGGUUCCCAUGCUGUGCAGAUCCGAGAGGACACCGGACGCCAGGUGACCCUGGCUCCAGAAGUUGACAAGGUAUCUGCCCAACGCCGAGCUGGAGUUCAGUGAGCUUCCCUUUCUUGCCUUUGUCUACCUUGACUCUGGCCUGCUACUCCCUGGGAGUGUGUUCAAAUAAAACUUACGCAUUCUGCUUUG